rnacentral:rRNA from 1 species
CAGCAGCCGCGGUAAAACGGAGGGUGCAAGCGUUAAUCGGAAUUACUGGGCGUAAAGCGUGCGUAGGUGGUGGUUUAAGUCCGUUGUGAAAGCCCUGGGCUCAACCUGGGAAUUGCAGUGGAUACUGGGUCACUAGAGUGUGGUAGAGGAUAGUGGAAUUUCCGGUGUAGCAGUGAAAUGCGUAGAGAUCGGAAGGAACAUCUGUGGCGAAGGCGACUAUCUGGGCCAACACUGACACUGAGGCACGAAAGCGUGGGGAGCAAACAGGAUUAGAUACCCGUGUAGUCCCUGUCUCUUAUAC